CAAUUUUUUUCAGAUUUUUUCGAAAUUCUAUUUCCGAGAUAUGAUUUUUUUUUUUCAAUAACUCUGGUUCUAUUCAACCGAUUUUAGUUUAUGACGGCUCAAACUUUUCCAUUUUCUACCAUCUAUAAGAAAAUUUUUCGUAGUUUUUUUCUAAUCUCUAAGUGCUCAUAAUACAGAAUUUUCAAAAAAAAAAAUUGAAAAAUUUCAAUUUUCAAAAUUAUAUCACCAUUUAUUUUUCUUAUUUUUCAAAAAUAAUUCUUAUCAUCAAAACAAGUAUUUUUAGCUGUCAUACAAUUUGGAUUUCGUCCUGGAUCUAUUUAAUUUUUAAUUUUUUCUUCUCGAAAUUCCGCGAGUUUGGUCAAAACACUCCAAAAUGACUUCGAUUAUGUGUAAAAAAAAUGUAACGUAUAAGAAUACGUUACAUUUCAUACGUACGUUCAUUUCAAGAAUACGUUCAUUUCACUUCAUACUGUUUAUAAUGAAAGUUAAUCAACGCCAUUUUGGGGUAUACUGAAUUUUGCCAAAGAAAUAACCUCGAUCAGAGUGGUGGGGAGCACGAGCCUAAGUGGGGAUUUGGAUAGAGUGGGGGUAUACGACUGAGGUUACUCCUUUGGCAAGAAGCACCUUAUGUUGACCAAAGUCGUGGAAUUUCGAGAUGAAAAAAUUGCAAAUCAGUCAGGUCAUACGUUCUGUUGUUGAAGAGUUUUUAAAAAUUAUGGAGUCUGCUAGAGCGAUUCGAACAAAAACACCAAAAUCGUACGAAGUUUGAAAUUUCUGUCUCGAUUAUUUUUCAAGUUAUCGUGGCAACAAGCGAUUUAGUCGAAAAAAUGACAAUAAAACUCAAUUUUCCAUAGCGAGGUGAUUAAAUUUCCAUGUCUCGAGAUAGGUAUCAUCGUGACGAAUAUUAAAAAAAAAAAAGAAAUUGGUCCAGUCAUUCCGGAGAUAUUUGCAAAAAACGAUUUUUGAGAAAUCUCUAUAUCUCAAGAACUACUGAACCGAUCGGGCUGAAAUUUAGCACAGAUUUGUGUUUCAUUAGUUCCAACUAUGAGCCAAAAUUUCAGCUUUUUUGUAUGAUUAUAUCGGAUUUAUUAACACACUUCUGGACAAACACACACAUACACACAUCAUAUCUCGACGUUUCAGACCACCCUGAGUCAUGUCGAAGCAAAAUUGGAGAAUCGACAAAAAUUGCAUUUUUAAGACGUCCAUUCGGAAGCAAACAAGAAGUGGAAUAUCUCAAGAACUACUAGACCGAUAUCGCCCAACCGAAAUAUCAACCUUUGGGAUCAUAAGAGCUACUUCCCCACCAAAUUUCAAACUCCUAUCUCAAUUUUUCCUCAAGUUAUCGUGCGAACAAUGAAUUUAAGGACAAAAUCGAAAAUGGUCAAUAUCUCGGAAACUUCGUAUGGGCGACUAUGCAUAUUCCGAUUGAUCUAGAUAGAAGACGCUGAGAUGACGUAUGACUUACGGAGGAAUGGUGCGCGAUCAUGAAUUGUCAUAAGUUUGGACUCUCCUAUUAAAACAUUGGUUGCUGUACUCCGCCUAUAACCCAGCGCCAAUCGGAUGGCCGCGUGUUGGAUGGAUUUGAGUUUUACCUGGUAAUUUUUGGUGCUUGAAAAGGUCUUCCCCACCAGGUUAUACGUAGGAAUUUUAUGAUAUUCAGAGCUUUGAGACAUCGCUGCUGUACUAUGGAUGUUUGGUGAUUAAAAGUUAAUUUUUGAUCAAAAUGGAUGUUUAAAAAUUUCGCGGUGGGUGAGGAGGCUGCCUGGUGUAUAUCUAUUCUGAUCUUAGUAUUUUCUGAUGGUGAGACUUUGCGACUGAAGCGCAGGGCAACUGUUUUUUCUGGAGCGAUGUUUAGACCUAGUGCCCUCAAGUUGGAAAUAAGUUGAUCAAUUGAAUUUUCUAGAAUGGCUUUAUCUGCUUUGUAGAUCGAAAUACGGAUGAAUAAGGCUAUGUCAUCGGCGAAUAGUGAUGCAUUAACUCUGUGGUGGAGUUUCUUCGAAAUGUUUCUGGCGUAAAGUGUGUACAGGAGUGAAGAAAGUACUCCACCCUGAGGCAGACCUUUGUAAGUGAAUUUGGUGUUGUUUGUUAGAGUGUCGCAGUGAAUUAUUCAUUUACACGUGAGGAAUUUUAUGAAAUGGAUGAUGGUAUUGGAGCAACCGAUUUCGGCGAGAAUAUCAGGCAGGGUGUCGCCAACGACAUUGUCGAAAGCGUUCGUGACAUCUAGAAAAAUGGCAAGUGUGUGUUCCUGGUCGCGGAAGGAGUCCUCGACAUAUCGAGUGAGUGACCAGGUUGUCUCUAUAUGACAGACCCGGUCUGAACCCUGUUUGUGCUGGAGAAAUGUAAUUAUUGUGGCUCACCCACCACUGUAGUCUAUUUCAUAGUUGCCAGACUUGGCGACUUGUCGCCAAAAUAUCUGGCACCAUAGUUCAACUGAAAAAUAUUGAAAUAAAUCAAUAAUAAUUAGAAAAAUACCGUUAGAAGGGC